rnacentral:rRNA from 1 species
GACGGAGGGUGCAAGCGUUGCUCGGAAUUAUUGGGCGUAAAGGGUGCGUAGGCGGCUCCUUAAGUCUGGCGUGAAAGCCCAAGGCUCAGCCUUGGAAGUGCGCUAGAAACUGGGGAGCUAGAGUACCGGAGGGGAGAGUGGAAUUCCUGGUGUAGCGGUGAAAUGCGUAGAUAUCAGGAGGAAUACCGGUGGCGAAAGCGACUCUCUGGACGGUAACUGACGCUGAGGCACGAAAGCGUGGGUAGCAAAC